ACGACCAUAGCACUUUGAAAACAGCGGUUCUCGUCCGAUCACUAAAGUUAAGCAAUGUCGGACCCGGUCAGUACUUGGGAGGGUGACCACUUGGGAAUACCGGUUAUCACCUUU